CAGGAAUUGAUGAAGUGUGCAGAUCCCCGGAUCCAAAACUAUCCUCUGAUGGGAUCCCCCUUGCUAAUAACAUCCAUCCUUCUGACCUAUGUGUACUUCGUCCUAUCACUUGGGCCUCGAAUCAUGGCUAAUCGGAAGCCUUUCCAACUUCGAGGCUUCAUGAUUGUCUACAAUUUCUCACUGGUGACACUCUCCCUCUACAUUGUCUAUGAGGUAGGCUGGAAUGCCUAGGCUGUAGUUCCUGUCUGCAGGGUAAGAGGUCAGGUACAGGGCAUGGGCCAGAGCAUGGCAAUUCCCUAUUCCAGAGGUUGUUAGUGAAGAGGAAGGGUUGUUGGAGAGGGAAUGAGGGGUCUGAUCCACUCUUUCUUAGUUCCUCAUGUCUGGCUGGCUGAGUACGUAUACCUGGCGCUGUGACCCUGUAGACUUUUCCAAUAACCCUGAAGCACUUCGGAUGGUUCGAGUGGCCUGGCUCUUCAUGCUUUCCAAGGUCAUUGAACUCAUGGACACAGUGAUAUUUAUUCUCCGGAAGAAGGAUGGGCAAGUGACCUUCCUCCAUGUCUUCCACCACUCGGUGCUUCCCUGGAGCUGGUGGUGGGGGAUAAAGAUUGCUCCAGGAGGAAUGGGCUCUUUCCAUGCCAUGAUAAACUCCUCUGUACACGUCGUCAUGUACCUCUACUACGGAUUGUCUGCCCUGGGCCCUGUGGCUCAGCCCUACCUUUGGUGGAAGAAACACAUGACAGCCAUUCAGCUG
rnacentral:lncRNA from 1 species